rnacentral:rRNA from 1 species
UACGAAGGGGGCUAGCGUUGCUCGGAAUCACUGGGCGUAAAGGGUGCGUAGGCGGGUCUUUAAGUCAGGGGUGAAAUCCUGGAGCUCAACUCCAGAACUGCCUUUGAUACUGAAGAUCUUGAGUCCGGGAGAGGUGAGUGGAACUGCGAGUGUAGCGGUGAAAUGCGUAGAUAUUGGGAGGAACACCAGUGGCGAAGGCGGCUCGCUGGACCGGAACUGACGCUGAGGCGCGAAAGCGUGGGGAGCAAACAGG